GGGGAAUAUUGGACAAUGGGGGCAACCCUGAUCCAGCCAUGCCGCGUGUGUGAAGAAGGCCUUUUGGUUGUAAAGCACUUUAAGCAGUGAAGAAGACUCUAUGGUUAAUACCCAUAGACGAUGACAUUAGCUGCAGAAUAAGCACCGGCUAACUCUGUGCCAGCAGCCGCGGUAAUACAGAGGGUGCAAGCGUUAAUCGGAAUUACUGGGCGUAAAGCGAGCGUAGGUGGCUUAAUAAGUCAGAUGUGAAAUCCCCGGGCUUAACCUGGGAACUGCAUCUGAUACUGUUGGGCUAGAGUAGGUGAGAGGGAGGUAGAAUUUCAGGUGUAGCGGUGAAAUGCGUAGAGAUCUGAAGGAAUACCGAUGGCGAAGGCAGCCUCCUGGCAUCAUACUGACACUGAGGUUCGAAAGCGUGGGUAGCAAACA
rnacentral:rRNA from 1 species